GAUGGGGAAAAUUGCAGUUGCACAAAGAGAUCCACGGCAUGAAGGAAACCUCCUACCCCAUGCGUUCUGGCCAAGAUCUUGGAUGGAAGGCAGAUUUAUGGGGGAUCAUCCUGUCUGGUUUCAAGACGUCCAAGCUGAAUUUUGUGACCUGCAGUGCUUCAUGGACCUAAUGACUCAGAUGCUGAUGAUGAGUCAGUAUAAAAGAAUUACCCCCGGCAGAAUUCUCCAGCAUCCAUUCAUCACCAUGAGCCACCUUCAAGGCUCAUACAAAAACAGCCUCUAUUUGAAGUCAUGCAAGGAUCUGAUGGACAUCUGCCAGGAUCAGAGCUCUGAGGAUGGAGGACAUUGAGACCAGGG